AGAGUUUGAUCCUGGCUCAGGAUGAACGCUGGCGGCAGGCUUAAUACAUGCAAGUCGAACGGUAACGACCGGUAGCAAUACUGGGGCGACGAGUGGCGCACGGGUGCGUAACGCGUAUGCAACCUGCCCUCAACCGGGACACAACGCCGAGAAAUUGGCGCUAAUAUCCCAUGUGUAUAAGGAAUGGCAUCGUUUUUUAUAUAAAGAUUUAUUGGUUGAGGAUGGGCAUGCGUAACAUUAGCUAGUUGGCGGGGUAACGGCCCACCAAGGCGACGAUGUUUAGGGGUUCUGAGAGGAUUCACCCCCACACUGGAACUGAGACACGGUCCAGACUCCUACGGGAGGCAGCAGUAGGGAAUAUUGGGCAAUGGAGGCAACUCUGACCCAGCCAUGCCGCGUGAAGGAAGACGGCCCUAUGGGUUGUAAACUUCUUUUGCCGCAGAGUAACCUGGGGGACGCGUCCCCCACUGAGAGUAUGCGGCGAAUAAGUAUCGGCUAACUCCGUGCCAGCAGCCGCGGUAAUACGGAGGAUACAAGCGUUAUCCGGAUUUAUUGGGUUUAAAGGGUGCGCAGGCGGACCGUUAAGUCAGGGGUGAAAAGUUGGGGCUCAACUCCAAUCGUGCCUUUGAUACUGGCGGACUAGAGUGCAGGGGACGUGACUGGAAUGUGAUGUGUAGCGGUGAAAUGCUUAGAUAUGUCACAGAACGCCGAUCGUGAAGACAGGUCACGAAUCUGCAACUGACGCUCAUGCACGAAAGCGUGGGGAUCAAACAGGAUUAGAUACCCUGGUAGUCCACGCUGUAAACGAUGAUCACUCGUUGUUGGCCGGUGACGGUCAGUGGCUAAGCGAAAGCGAUAAGUGAUCCACCUGGGGAGUACGAUCGCAAGGUUGAAACUCAAAGGAAUUGACGGGGGCCCGCACAAGCGGAGGAGCAUGUGGUUUAAUUCGAUGAUACGCGAGGAACCUUACCCGGGCUUGAACGUAAGACGAAGAACCAGGAAACUGGUUCGCCUUCGGGCGUUUUGCGAGGUGCUGCAUGGUUGUCGUCAGCUCGUGCCGUGAGGUGUUAGGUUAAGUCCUGCAACGAGCGCAACCCUUACCUUCAGUUGCCAGCACGUAAUGGUGGGGACUCUGGAGGAACUGCCUACGCAAGUAGAGAGGAAGGUGGGGAUGACGUCAAAUCAGCACGGCCCUUAUGUUCGGGGCUACACACGUGCUACAAUGGCGUGUACAGAGGGCAGCUACCCCGCGAGGGGAUGCCAAUCCUCAAAGCACGUCUCAGUUCGGAUUGGAGUCUGUAACUCGACUCUAUGAAGUUGGAUUCGCUAGUAAUCGCGCAUCAGCCAUGGCGCGGUGAAUACGUUCCCGGGCCUUGUACACACCGCCCGUCAAGCCAUGGAAGCUGGUGGUACCUAAAGUCCGUACCCGCGAGGAGCGGCCUAGGGUAAAACCGGUAACUGGGGCUAAGUCGUAACAAGGUAGCCGUACCGGAAGGUGUGGCUGGAACACCUCCUU
rnacentral:rRNA from 1 species